CUCCGACUUCAUGGGGUCGAGUUGCAGACCCCAAUCCGAACUGAGACCGGCUUUUUGGGAUUCGCUCCACCUUACGGUAUCGCAGCCCUCUGUACCGGCCAUUGUAGCAUGCGUGAAGCCCAAGACAUAAGGGGCAUGAUGAUUUGACGUCAUCCCCACCUUCCUCCGAGUUGACCCCGGCAGUCUCCCAUGAGUCCCCGGCAUAACCCGCUGGCAACAUAGGACGAGGGUUGCGCUCGUUGCGGGACUUAACCCAACAUCUCACGACACGAGCUGACGACAACCAUGCACCACCUGUGUACGAGUGUCCAAAGAGAACCCCGUCUCGGGGGCUUUCUCGUACAUGUCAAGCCUUGGUAAGGUUCUUCGCGUUGCAUCGAAUUAAUCCGCAUGCUCCGCCGCUUGUGCGGGCCCCCGUCAAUUCCUUUGAGUUUUAGCCUUGCGGCCGUACUCCCCAGGCGGGGCACUUAAUGCGUUAGCUGCGGCACGGAACUCGUGGAAUGAGCCCCACACCUAGUGCCCAACGUUUACGGCAUGGACUACCAGGGUAUCUAAUCCUGUUCGCUCCCCAUGCUUUCGCUCCUCAGCGUCAGUUGCGGCCCAGAGACCUGCCUUCGCCAUCGGUGUUCCUCCUGAUAUCUGCGCAUUCCACCGCUACACCAGGAAUUCCAGUCUCCCCUACCGCACUCUAGUCUGCCCGUACCCGAUGCAAGCCCGAGGUUGAGCCUCGGGAUUUCACACCAGACGCGACAGACCGCCUACGAGCUCUUUACGCCCAAUAAUUCCGGACAACGCUUGCGCCCUACGUAUUACCGCGGCUGCUGGCACGUAGUUAGCCGGCGCUUCUUCUGCAGGUACCGUCACUUGCGCUUCUUCCCUGCUGAAAGAGGUUUACAACCCGAAGGCCGUCAUCCCUCACGCGGCGUCGCUGCAUCAGGCUUGCGCCCAUUGUGCAAUAUUCCCCACUGCUGCCUCCCGUAGGAGUCUGGGCCGUGUCUCAGUCCCAGUGUGGCCGGUCGCCCUCUCAGGCCGGCUACCCGUCGACGCCUUGGUAGGCCAUCACCCCACCAACAAGCUGAUAGGCCGCGAGCCCAUCCCCCACCGAAAAACUUUCCAACCCACACCAUGCGAUGCGAGCUCAUAUCCGGUAUUAGACCCCGUUUCCAAGGCUUAUCCCGAAGUGGAGGGCAGGUUGCUCACGUGUUACUCACCCGUUCGCCACUGAUCCACCCAGCAAGCUGGGCUUCACC
rnacentral:rRNA from 1 species